CUCUUAGCCAGGUGGCAGAUUCUUUCGCUGUGCCCAAUUAGCUGCUGCCGCGCCUUGGAGUCCGGAGUAACUUGGCCAGGCUGGCCCCGAGCGGAACUGGAGAAAGCUGAGGCUCUAACCAUGGAAUACUGGGAAUGUCCCUUUCUGUGAAGGAGGUUUGUCAGCCACAACAGGAAUAUUCAUGAACAUGAAGGGGUUGGGCAUGUUCCAGGAUCUGUCUAUCGACUUCUCUCAGGAGGAAUGGGAGGGCCUGGACACUGCUCAGAAGGACUUAUAGAGAGAUGUAAUGAUGGAGAACUAUAGCAGCCUGGUCUCACUAGGUCUCUCUAUCCCAAAGCCUGAUGUGAUUUCCUUACUGGAGCAAGGGAAAGAGUCCUGCAUGGUUUCAAGGGACGUACCAGGAGGAUGGUGCCCAGAGUCUCACUCUGUAGCCCGGGCUGGAGUGCA
rnacentral:lncRNA from 10 species